UACGAAGGGGGCGAGCGUUGUUCGGAUUUACUGGGCGUAAGGGGCGCGUAGGCGGGAUGGCAAGUCGGUCGUGAAAUACCUCGGCUCAACUGAGGAGCGUCGAUCGAAACUGCCGUUCUUGAGGGUUGCAGAGGAGACUGGAAUUCCCGGUGUAGCGGUGAAAUGUGUAGAGAUCGGGAGGAACACCGGUGGCGAAGGCGGGUCUCUGGGCAAUUCCUGACGCUGAGGCGCGAAAGCGUGGGGAGCAAACGGG
rnacentral:rRNA from 1 species